UGCCUGGCACCGUGUGCCCCAGGGCUGGAGGCAAAGGGCUGCUGUUGGCUGAGCAGAUCAGAGUGGAUAAGUGGAGCUCACACCCGCUGUCUUCUACAGGAGCUGCAGAAAUUGGCCUCCAAGCACCCCAACCUGGUCAUCGUCCCGCUCGAAGUCACCGAUCCCGCCAGCAUCAAGGCGGCCGCAGCCAGCGUCGGGGAGCGCCUCAAGGGCUCGGGGCUGAACCUCCUCAU